AAUGAACGUUGGCGGCAUGGAUUAGGCAUGCAAGUCGAGCGAGAAGUGUAGCAAUACACGGAAAGCGGCGGAAGGGAGAGUAAUACGUGGGAAUCUGCCCUUAGACCUGGGAUAGCAGCGGGAAACUGCUGGUAAUACCAGAUAAUGUCUAUGGACCAAAGGUGUGAUUCCGUCUAGGGAUGAGCCCACGUGCUAUUAGCUAGUUGGUAGGGUAAUGGCCGACCAAGGGGAUGAUGGGUAGCGGGUGUGAGAGCAUGACCCGCCUCACUGGGACUGAAGCACGGCACAGACACCGACGGGUGGCUGCAGUCGGGAAUCUUCGGCAAUGGGCGCAAGCCUGACCGAGCGAUGCCGCGUGCGGGAUGAAGGCCUUCGGGUUGUAAACCGCUGUCGAGGGGGAGCAACUUCCAUAGAGUUAUCUUUAUGGAUUGAGUGAUCCCUGGAGGAAGGACGGGCUAAGUUCGUGCCAGCAGCCGCCGUAAGAC
rnacentral:rRNA from 1 species